rnacentral:lncRNA from 1 species
AUGAUAAUUUGGUUUGAGUCUUUCUGAUGGUGGUCAGGUUGGCCGGCCAAAGUCGGACCUGAUCAUUUAUUGGUCCAAUUCACCAAAUCAAAUCAUGUUAAUGGUUGGACCUAACCAAAUCUUUUCAGUGGAGGCCAAAGCCUACUGAUUAGGUUCUGGGGCAAAAUCAAUUACUAGAAGUUAUUUAGAGAAACAACUGGUUAUGAACCUACCCAUAGAUGCACAUAGGUUGACCAACCAAAGUUGGGCUCGUGUGUAGUCUGUGUGGAUUCUAGUAUCCACUAAAGAAUUAAAGUAAUUCCUUGAAUUGGAGGUUGAGGCUACCAGUUCAUAAAAAUAUUAGGAGAAACUUUAGACUAA